rnacentral:rRNA from 1 species
GAUGAACGCUGGCGGUGUGCUUAACACAUGCAAGUCGAACGAGGUCUAUUUUAUAUUUCUGGUUUCGGCUAGUUUCGGAAUAGACUGCAGUGGCGGACGGGUGCGUAACGCGUAAGAACUUACCUUUUGGAGGGGGAUAACAAUGGGAAACCGCUGCUAAUCCCGCAUAAUGCUGAGGAGCUAAAUGGUGAAUAACCGCCAAGAGAGAGGCUUGCGUCUGAUUAGCUAGUUGGUGGGGGUAAUGGCCCCCCAAGGCGACGAUCAGUAGCUGGUCUGAGAGGAUGAUCAGCCACACUGGGACUGAGACACGGCCCAGACUCCUACGGGAGGCAGCAGUGAGGAAUUUUCCGCAAUGGGCGAAAGCCUGACGGAGCAAUACCGCGUGAAGGAAGAAGGAUCGGUGGUCUGUAAACUUCUUUGUACGGAACGAAACGGUCUGGGCUAAGUACCCCGGGCUAAUGACGGUACCGUAAGAAUAAGCACCGGCUAACUACGUGCCAGCAGCCG